rnacentral:rRNA from 1 species
AUGAACGCUGGCGGCGUGCCUAAUCCAUGCAAGUCGAGCGAACAGACGAGGAGCUUGCUCCUCUGACGUUAGCGGCGGACGGGUGAGUAACACGUGGAUAACCUACCUAUAAGACUGGGAUAACUUCGGGAAACCGGAGCUAAUACCGGAUAAUAUAUUGAGCCGCAUGGUUCAAUAGUGAAAGACGGUUUUGCUGUCACUUAUAGAUGGAUCCGCGCCGCAUUAGCUAGUUGGUAAGGUAACGGCUUACCAAGGCAACGAUGCGUAGCCGACCUGAGAGGGUGAUCGGCCACACUGGAACUGAGACACGGUCCAGACUCCUACGGGAGGCAGCAGUAGGGAAUCUUCCGCAAUGGGCGAAAGCCUGACGGAGCAACGCCGCGUGAGUGAUGAAGGUCUUCGGAUCGUAAAACUCUGUUAUUAGGGAAGAACAAAUGUGUAAGUAACUAUGCACGUCUUGACGGUACCUAAUCAGAAAGCCACGGCUAACUACGUG